CUUACAGUAGAUGAAUGUUGACAUUAAGUUCUAACUUCAACACAGUAUGAAGAAGAUGAUUUUUUAAAAUUGUCUAGCAAUAAUUUCUUUGGAAAGAUUAAUUUAGCAUUGACUAUGAAUUAGGGAAAGGAAAAACUGAAGGUAGGGAGUUCAAUUAAAUAAUCUAGUGGAGAGGUAAACAAAAGUAAACAAAGACACAAGUAGUCACAAUGGAAAGGAAGGAAUGAACCUGACUUUUAAAAGGAAAAGUUGACAUAAUGUAGGAACUAAUUAAAUAUGGGAAAUCAAAAAGAAGAUUUUAAAUAAAUAAACAAAUAAGCCACUUCUCUUGCUCCUUUAUUUUGUUUUUAAUGUGAUAUUUUAUGUCUAGAUCAUGUAUCUAUUUAUGUUUAUCUUGCUAUGUUGUGUGAAAUACUAGCCUAAAUUUAAUAUCUGCCAAACUGCUUUUUUGUUUUCGCAGAAGUUUUUGUCAAAAGUGAUUCCAUUUAUGAUAUCAUUCCAUUCCAGUAUGACAUCUUCAUGAGGUUUUGAAUUCUGUGCUGCUAUGUUUGUAUGUUUCUGAAAAUGAAGCCCAUAAUAAAAUCCACACCAUUUCAUCAGGUGAUGAUUAAACCACUGAACUGCCUGGAGGAUUGUGUCUUGGUGAGCCUGAAGUAUGUGAAAUAUUAUAAAGUGAACAGAAUCUUAAAGGAUAGUAUCUAUCUA